rnacentral:tRNA from 2 species
GGGCCCUUAGCUCAGUCGGUUAGAGCAGGCGACUCAUAAUCGCUUGGUCCAGGGUUCGAGUCCCUGAGGGCCCACCA